GCACCAGUGGGGUAUAUUGCGCAAUGGGCGAAAGCGAGACCCAGCGACGCCGCGUGACCGAUGAAGGCCUUCGGGUUGUAAAGCUCUAUAGUCUGGGAAGAAGGACUGUCGGCACCGCAUAAAAGCCCCGGCUAAUUUCGUCCCCGCAGCCGCGGUAAGACGUAGGGGGCGAGCGUUUUCCGGAUUUACUGGGUGUAAAGGGCGCGUAGGCGGCCUUUAAAGUCAGGUGUAAAAUCCCCGGGCUCAACCCGGGGAUCGCACUUGAAACUGGGCGUCUAGAGGGCAGGAGAGGGGAGUGGAAUUCCCGGUGUAGCGGUGAAAUGUGUAGAUCUCGGGAGGAAUACCAGUGGAGAAGGCGUCUCUCUGGCCUGACCCUGACGGUGAGGCGCGAAAGCGUGGGGCGCAAACAGGAUUAGAUCCCCUGGUUGUCCACGCCGUAAACGAUGGGUACUAGGUGUGGGGCAGGAAGCAUUCCGUGCCGUAGC
rnacentral:rRNA from 1 species